rnacentral:rRNA from 1 species
UACGUAGGGGGCGAGCGUUGUCCGGAUUCAUUGGGCGUAAAGCGCUUUAAGGCGGUUCGCUAAGUCGGGUGUGAAACCUCCAGGCUCAACCUGGAGACGCCACUCGAUACUGGCGUGACUAGAGUUCGGUAGGGGACCACGGAAUUCCUGGUGUAGCGGUGGAAAUGCGCAGAUAUCAGGAGGAACACCAGUGGCGAAGGCGGUGGUCUGGGCCGAUACUGACGCUGAGGAGCGAAAGCGUGGGGAGCGAACAGG